UACGGGGGGGGCAAGCGUUGUUCGGAAUUACUGGGCGUAAAGGGCUUGUAGGCGGCCAACUAAGUCAGCCGUGAAAUCCCCAGGCUUAACCUGGGAACUGCGUCUGAUACUGGAUGGCUUGAAUUCGGGAGAGGGAUGCAGAAUUCCAGGUGUAGCGGUGAAAUGCGUAGAUAUCUGGAGGAAUACCGGUGGCGAAGGCGGCAUCCUGGACCGACAUUGACGCUGAGGAGCGAAAGCUAGGGGAGCAAACGGG
rnacentral:rRNA from 1 species